UCGAGCGGACAGAAGGGAGCUUGCUCCCGGAUGUUAGCGGCGGACGGGUGAGUAACACGUGGGUAACCUGCCUGUAAGACUGGGAUAACUCCGGGAAACCGGAGCUAAUACCGGAUAGUUCCUUGAACCGCAUGGUUCAAGGAUGAAAGACGGUUUCGGCUGUCACUUACAGAUGGACCCGCGGCGCAUUAGCUAGUUGGUGAGGUAACGGCUCACCAAGGCGACGAUGCGUAGCCGACCUGAGAGGGUGAUCGGCCACACUGGGACUGAGACACGGCCCAGACUCCUACGGGAGGCAGCAGUAGGGAAUCUUCCGCAAUGGACGAAAGUCUGACGGAGCAACGCCGCGUGAGUGAUGAAGGUUUUCGGAUCGUAAAGCUCUGUUGUUAGGGAAGAACAAGUGCAAGAGUAACUGCUUGCACCUUGACGGUACCUAACCAGAAAGCCACGGCUAACUACGUGCCAGCAGCCGCGGUAAUACGUAGGUGGCAAGCGUUGUCCGGAAUUAUUGGGCGUAAAGGGCUCGCAGGCGGUUUCUUAAGUCUGAUGUGAAAGCCCCCGGCUCAACCGGGGAGGGUCAUUGGAAACUGGGAAACUUGAGUGCAGAAGAGGAGAGUGGAAUUCCACGUGUAGCGGUGAAAUGCGUAGAGAUGUGGAGGAACACCAGUGGCGAAGGCGACUCUCUGGUCUGUAACUGACGCUGAGGAGCGAAAGCGUGGGGAGCGAACAGGAUUAGAUACCCUGGUAGUCCACGCCGUAACGAUGAGUGCUAAGUGUUAGGGGGUUUCCGCCCCUUAGUGCUGCAGCUAACGCAUUAA
rnacentral:rRNA from 1 species